rnacentral:rRNA from 1 species
UACGGAAGGGGCAAGCGUUGUUCGGAAUCAUUGGGCGUAAAGGGCGCGUAGGUGGUUCUGUAUGUCUACCGUGAAAGCGUACGGCUCAACCGUAUUUUGUCGGUGGAAACUGCAGGACUUGAGGCUGGGAGGGGCUGGUGGAAUUCCCUGUGUAGCGGUGAAAUGCGCAGAUAUCAGGAGGAACACCUAUGGCGAAGGCAGCUCGCUGGGACGGUACUGACGCUGAGGCGCGAAAGCGUGGGGAGCGAACAGG